rnacentral:lncRNA from 10 species
GCUGGGCAUGGUGGCACACGCCUGUAAUCCCAGCUACUUGGGAGGCUGAGGCAGGAGAAUUGCUUAAGCCCAGGAGACAGAGGUUGCAGUGAGCCGAGGUCGUGCCACUGCACUCCAGCCUAGCUGACAGAGCAAGCUCUGUCUCAAAAAAAUAAAUAAAUAAAUAAAUAAAGAUAUUAAUGCAUCUAAAGAUAAUUACUCUGUCGCCCAGGCUGGAGUGCAGUGGAGUGAUCUCAGGUCACUGCAACCUCCACCUCCUGGGUUCAAGCGAUUCUCUAGC